UCCCUGUUCGUCUAAUCGGUAAGACACCGGGCUCUGGAUCCGGUAAUCGAGGUUCGAGUCCUUGAUGGGGAGC
rnacentral:tRNA from 4 species